GGGUCGUUAGCUCAGUUGGUAGAGCAGUUGACGUUUAAUCAAUUGGUCGCAGGUUCGAAUCCUGCACGACCCACCA
rnacentral:tRNA from 1 species